CGGCAUGCUUUACACAUGCAAGUCGAACGGUAACAGGGUGCUUGCACCGCUGACGAGUGGCGAACGGGUGAGUAAUGCGUCGGAACGUGCCGAGUAGUGGGGGAUAACGCAGCGAAAGUUGUGCUAAUACCGCAUACGUACUGAGGUAGAAAGUGGGGGACCUUCGGGCCUCACGCUAUUCGAGCGGCCGACGUCUGAUUAGCUAGUAGGUGAGGUAAAGGCUCACCUAGGCGACGAUCAGUAGCGGGUCUGAGAGGAUGAUCCGCCACACUGGGACUGAGACACGGCCCAGACUCCUACGGGAGGCAGCAGUGGGGAAUUUUGGACAAUGGGCGAAAGCCUGAUCCAGCCAUGCCGCGUGUCUGAAGAAGGCCUUCGGGUUGUAAAGGACUUUUGUCAGGGAGGAAAUCCCUAGUGCUAAUAACACUGGGGGAUG
rnacentral:rRNA from 1 species